GUAGGGAAUCUUCGGCAAUGGGGGCAACCCUGACCGAGCAACGCCGCGUGAGUGAAGAAGGUUUUCGGAUCGUAAAGCUCUGUUGUAAGAGAAGAACGUGUGUGAGAGUGGAAAGUUCACACAGUGACGGUAACUUACCAGAAAGGGACGGCUAACUACGUGCCAGCAGCCGCGGUAAUACGUAGGUCCCGAGCGUUGUCCGGAUUUAUUGGGCGUAAAGCGAGCGCAGGCGGUUUAAUAAGUCUGAAGUUAAAGGCAGUGGCUUAACCAUUGUUCGCUUUGGAAACUGUUAAACUUGAGUGCAGGAGGGGAGAGUGGAAUUCCAUGUGUAGCGGUGAAAUGCGUAGAUAUAUGGAGGAACACCGGUGGCGAAAGCGGCUCUCUGGUCUGUAACUGACGCUGAGGCUCGAAAGCGUGGGGAGCAAACAGGAUUAGAAACCCCUGUAGUCC
rnacentral:rRNA from 1 species